rnacentral:rRNA from 1 species
CAGCCGCCGCGGUAAUACGAAGGGUGCAAGCGUUACUCGGAAUUACUGGGCGUAAAGCGUGCGUAGGUGGUGGUUUAAGUCCGUUGUGAAAGCCCUGGGCUCAACCUGGGAAUGGCAGUGGAUACUGGCUCGCUAGAGUGUGUCAGAGGAUGGUGGAAUUCCCGGUAUAGCGGUGAAAUGCGUAGAGAUCGGGAGGAACAUCAGUGGCGAAGGCGGCCAUCUGGGACAACACUGACGCUGAGGCACGAAAGCGUGGGGAGCAAACAGGAUUAGAUACCCCAGUAGUCCCUGUCUCUUAUAC